AAUAUGUGGACAGGACCUUAAUCAGCAUCCUGGAAGUGGAAAGCACGGAAGGCCUGUGUCCCACAUCACAGACAGGUAAUGCGUUGCUCCUUAAGCAGGGGCCUGUUUGACGGAUAGUCCCAUCUAAUACUCACCGCACAUUUUAGCCUCAGAGCGAAACGUGCUGCGCACUCCGUCUGACUCGUCAGCCGAACAAACUCUCCUCUCUCUGCUUCUAGGUGCAGCGUGUAGCCAAAGCAGCACAGGGGGGGGGCCCCGUGGGGAGGAGGGGGCGGUGCAGCAGCGCACCCCUCCGGCUGUGGGUGUGCUGGGCGGCGACCCCCGGGAGGCUGCGCGGGAUGUGGAAGGGUCAUCCCAGCAUGCCCCGCAGCCGGUCACUGCUGAGAGGUGCCGGCACAUCGGUGAGAAGAACGUGUGCCCGGAGAAUUGCCCCGCCAUUGACCCAGAGGAGCCCGGUCUCUCUACAGAGUGUCACAAACACUCUGAUACACAGACAGAUAAAGCUUUGCAGUAUUCCCAUUUCGGGCCACAGGCUGAUAACAGUGGGCACCCAGGCAGGCCGGCGAGUGGGACAGAGUGGGUUGAUGUUGAAGCAGGCCGGGACCACGCGCUGCAGCCGGGAAGUACAGGUGGACUGGUGGUCAUCAGUGGCACAGACACGGGACAGGAUCUCCCGGAGAAUGAGAAAUUGGAAUAUAAACGUGAGUUUGGAACGGAGGAACAUGCCGGUGUACGUUCAUCAACAAACCUCCCCUCGGAAUCCUGCUCAACAGCCUCCCCUCUUACCCUCAGCCCAAAUAAAGAUACAGUCCCGCACCGCGCACAAGAAAGAGGAAUGGAUCGGCCGCGGACAACUCCGCCUACUCCGGCCAGCCAGGCCAGCCAUGUACCUCUGUCUCAAGUCAGCGAGAAACCAGGCCUUCCCCCAAAUGCUGAGCACCCUCCACCCCCGGGGCCCAUCACAGGCCAUAACGAUGGGACACAAACGGACGUCUCCACGGGACCUAAAAUCACUACGCAGGACUCGAGUGAUGGCAAGGGAGCAAUAUGUGGUGCUAGUGCAGAUGAGCGGGGACCACAGGAAACGGGAGGAUCUACAGGGAAGUGCGAGACCGGACGUGCCACGCACGGGAGUUCACACCCACCGACGCCGCUCCCAUCAACUAAAGUGUCAUGGACCCCUCAGGGGGGAGAGACACACCCCGGACUGGUCCCCUACACACCACCUGGCAGUGGAAAUUCCACCCCGAACUACUCAGCCGAGCGACAGGGAAGCGAGAGCGACCCCCAGAACAGUCCCCCACGUGCAGCAGUGGAACAGACGGAGACCAACAGGGCAGAGGUGGACCCUGAAGUUGCCGAUCUCUCGCCGGACCUUACGAUCCGGCCACAAAGCUCUCCUCGUCCGGAGAUGCCCAGCACGGCACCAACGGCGCCAGCCCCUGCCGUCUGCCACCUCCACAGGACAGAACUAGACUUAAUGCAGACAGACCAGCCUGUCCAAGUUCAGACUGCCGAUUCGGACACCCCACUGGCCUCUGAGCUCUCGAUCCCGGCGAUUGCUCACGGCGCCGUGGUGCUUGGCGGAGAGAGCGGCCUGGAGUUUUCAGAGGAGUUGCAAGUGAAUCAGUGUGUCUUCCUGAAAGAACAUGUUAGCGGGGACGCUGCUGUUGUUGAGUUGCACGCUGAUCUCUCUGCCGGAGAACCCAAGUCAUUUAUAGAAGGGACCCAUUCAGAAAUCGGAAUGGCUUCGCUGGCUGGGGCAGAAUUUGAGAUUUAUAGCUUUGUGGAGGAGGAGAUUGCGACAGAGGUUGUCGAAGACCGGCUGUCUCUCUCCCCGAGCUAUGAGGUAAACUUAUUCACCCCGGUCAUUGAACACUCCGAGAGUGAGGGACAACACAUACACGUAUUGUCUUCCCUGCAAAUGGCUAAUGACGACAGUCACGUCGUCUUGCAGCACGGCCCCCUUACGUCAGAUCACGGCCUCUUAGAAAUGGAGGUGUGCUCAAAUGACUUCACCCCAACCAUCUCCCCACACGACACGGGGAUGUCUGAUGAAGGGCAGAAUUUCCAGGCCGAAAACACAACUGCGGAAGUGUCCGCGGCGGAAGGGUCGGCUAAUAUCUGUUUGAUUCCGACUGUCCCCGUCUUGGAUACGCCACAUGUACGGACAAACGCCGCCACGGAAGCCACGACUCGGUGUCCGGAGGCCGUCCCGGACCACAGAAGGGUGGACGUCGCCGUGGCCGCCUCCUUCGGUGACGCACAAACGCUGCCAGGGCGGACUGGAACGGGAGUGACGGCCAGUACGUCUUCCCUGGUCGUCCCAAUGGCAGAAUUAACAGAGGAGCUUGUGGAGUCAACCGGUCAGCGCUGCGCAGAGGUCCUCUCAUCCCCGAACACCGUACAUCUGUUAGAGAGCGGCGUGAUGAACUGUCCUUCACUAGACCAGGCCCCGGGACUCUCCUUAGAAAAUACCACCAUAUCCGAGCCCUGUUCUUUGUCUGUUGACGGGUCCAGUGAUCCAGAGCCCUGUCCCGCUGCCAUAGAAAUGCCGAUGCAGAUCCAGCAGGACAUUGAUUGUGCCGUUACUGUGACGACAGCCAAGGACAGCCCAGGGGCUUCCCAGUGCGCACUCCCUCCCGGCAUCAUCGACCCAAGUCUUCUCCUCCUAAAGCCCGAGGACACGGCCCUCCUCAAACGCCCGCCCUCCUUCCUGUUGGGGACGACCAGACUGCCGAGCGACGGCCGGGCACAGACCGGCGUCAGCGGCUUGGACACAGCGCCUGCAAUGGAGUGCCUUCCCGAAGCCGCGCUGGGACCUGCGCCGGCGUGCGUCUCUGUCGACCGCCACGAAGAGCAGAGCAUGUCACGUGUGGACUUGGAGCCCGGCGCGACAUCGUCUUCUACGCUCACCACGAACACCGCGUUGCAGCGCCGUCUCUCUAACCCCGCGCCAUGCAGAUCCGACGACGAGGCCUUAACUCCGAUCAAAGCGUCCCCGGGGCCAGCGGGGACCGUUUUGCGAACCCUGGACCCUCCCGACGCCCCGCCUGAGCACUUCUCCGGCCACAUGUUGCCCUCAACCUCGGGCAGUGUGUCUAGGGGUAAGCUCUUCGGUUACUCCAGCGACGGUGGCCAGGCCGGGCCACCGCCGGUCAUCCGGCCACGGCUUGCCGGUGUGAAGGGCCCGGGGUUCGGCGGCCCCAAGGACGAGAGCAGUGAUGGAGAGGAUGACCUGGCAGAGGAGGACAAGGCCAGCCACCGAAGCAUGGGUUCCCCCGGUGGAGCGGAGAGCAAGGUACGCCAGUGGAUAGCUGACAGGGUCACGCCAAGUUCAUCUCCCGUGUCCCCUGGUCCUGACCCAUCCUCCUCCAGUGACUGGACCCCCAGCACCACUCCAAUCCCUCUCAGAGGCGCCCAUGGCAGGUUCCUCUCUCCUCCCACUACGGGCCCUGGGGGUUCCUCCCCGUCGGACCCGGUCACCCCCCAUCGCCCUCGAAUGGAGCGCCACGCCGACAUGGCCGAGCUGGCCAAACACGAAGCGGAGAUAGAGGGCAGGACCCUAGCACUGAAAAAGGAAGGAUUCUGGUCGAUGAAGCGACUGACCCGUUUGACGGAGCCAGUCCGAACCAAGGUGCACUGGGACUACCUGUGUGAGGAAAUGCAGUGGCUCUCGGCAGACUUUGCCCAGGAGAGAAGGUGGAAAAGAGGGGUCGCCAGGAAGGUGGUGCGGAUGGUGAUGCGUCACCACGAGGACCUGCGGCAGAAAGAGGAGAAGGCGAAGAGGGACGAGCACGCCAAAAUCAGACGGGUCGCCUCCAACAUUGCCAAGGAGGUGCGGGCCUUCUGGAGCAGCGUGGAGAAGGUGGUGCAGUACAAGCAGCAGUCCCGGCUGGAGGAGAAGCGGAAGAAGGCUCUGGACCUCCAGCUGGACUUCAUCGUGGGCCAGACGGAGAAAUACUCCGACCUCCUCAGCCAGGCCCUGGAAACGGCCCCGGCUGGGAUCAGUGAACCUGCGUCCUCACCGCACAGACGACAUCUUCCGCCUGCCGUGGAUGAGGAGGAUAGAGACUUUGAGCCUCCAUGUGGUGAGGAGGAGGAUGACGAGGAGACCAUCGAUGUGGAGGAGGCGCAGGAUGGCAAUGAUGCUGAGACCCAGAGGAGAGAGAUUGAGCUGCUAAGACAGGAGGGGACCAUGUCCCUGGCGGAGCUGCUGAGUACCCUCAAAAGGCCCCAGUCACAGGUGGGUCCCACCCUCAAAAGUUUGGUGGACACUGACUUUCCUCCUACCCAGGAUUCAGAAGAUGAGGAAGAGUGCUCAGACAACUCGUCUACGACGGUGGACGAAGACGAGGAGUUCACAGCCAACGAAGAAGAUGCGGAAGACGAGGAGGACACCAUUGCAGCCCAGGAGAUCGUGGAGGGGGAGGCCAAUCACGCCGACGAGCUGGACGACUUGGCCAAGGAAGGUGACAUGAGUAUGGAGGAGCUGCUGGAGAAGUAUAAAGGAGCAUACGCCUCUGAUUUCGAGGAGCCCUCAACAUCCGCCUCCCCCGCUAGCUCGGACCAGUCUGAAAACUCUGGAGAAGAAGAUGAGGAGGAGGAGGAGAGCGAGGAAGAUGAAAGCAAUGAAGAUAGUGAAGAGGAAGAGGUCAGUGAAAACGAGGAGGACAGUAAUGAAGACGAGUGUGACGAGGGGAUGGAGAUCUUGCUGAAGGAGGGGGACCACAGCCCCCCACUACCAGCCGGCCAGCGACCCAAGAAGGAGAUCAGCCACAUUGCCGCCACGGCAGAGAGCCUGCAGCCCAAAGGCUACACCCUGGCCACAACCAAGGUCAAAACUCCCAUUCCGUUCCUGCUGGUGGGCCAGCUGCGGGAGUACCAGCACAUUGGCCUGGACUGGCUGGUCACCAUGUACGAGAAGAAGCUCAACGGCAUCCUGGCUGACGAGAUGGGCCUGGGGAAGACCAUCCAGACCAUCGCCUUGCUCGCUCACCUGGCCUGUGAAAAGGGUAACUGGGGGCCUCACCUGAUCAUCGUGCCGACCAGUGUGAUGCUGAACUGGGAGAUGGAGCUGAAGCGUUGGUGUCCUGGAUUCAAAAUCCUCACUUACUACGGCAGUCAGAAGGAGAGGAAACUGAAGAGACAGGGAUGGACGAAGCCCAAUGCCUUCCACGUGUGCAUCACCUCAUACAAGCUGGUGCUCCAGGACCACCAGGCCUUUCGACGCAAGUCCUGGCGGUACCUGAUCCUGGACGAGGCCCAGAACAUCAAGAACUUCAAGUCCCAGCGCUGGCAGAGCCUGCUGAACUUCAACAGCCAGAGGCGGUUGCUCCUGACGGGCACCCCUCUACAGAACAGCCUGAUGGAGCUGUGGUCCCUCAUGCACUUCCUCAUGCCCCACGUCUUCCAGUCCCACCGGGAGUUCAAGGAGUGGUUCUCCAACCCGCUCACCGGCAUGAUCGAGGGCAGCCAGGAGUACAACGAGGGCCUGGUCAAGAGGCUGCACAAGGUGCUCCGGCCGUUCCUUCUGAGGAGAAUCAAGGCGGACGUGGAGAAGCAGAUGCCUAAGAAGUACGAGCAUGUGGUCCGUUGCCGUCUGUCCAAGAGACAGCGUUUCCUCUACGAUGACUUCAUGGCACAGGCCUCCACUCGGGAAACGCUGGCCAGCGGUCACUUCAUGUCUGUGAUCAACAUCUUGAUGCAGCUCCGUAAAGUGUGUAACCACCCCAACCUGUUUGACCCGCGGCCAAUCCACUCCCCCUUCAUCACCAAGCCCAUCAUAUUCCACACAGCCUCCCUGGUGCAGCAAGCCCUGGAGAUCUCUCCAUUUAAGCGCUGUGACCUGUCCAUGUUUGACCUGCUGGGUCUAGAGGGCAGGGUUUCCCGCUACCAGGCCGACGUCUUUCUGCCCCGCCGGAAGGUCACCCGCCGGCUGAUCCAGGAGGUCAUGGAGUCCCCCGAGCCCCCGCCCCGCCCCAAACCCGUCCGCAUGAAGGUGAACAGGAUGUUCCAGCCACUACCGAAGGCGGACAGUCGCACCAUGCUGGUGGUGAACAACCCCCGGCCCACGUGUCCCGUCACCCCUGCUGCCCAAGCCCUGAGGCCCCCUUCCAUCCAGGAGGUCACCACGACCCCCACACCUUCAUCGCCGGUCCAGCAAGCAGGACUCCGCUAUGUUCAGUAUUUCUGGUGGAGACCAGACACAGUGUGGCUGAAAUCCUGCCUUGUCUCGUUUCAUGAAACCUCAGCCGUGUGUUCGGUGGCCCCCACCGCCCCGCCGCGCCCGCCCACGCACCCCGGUGGCCCCUCGGUGGCGGGCACUGCCGCCCGGGCCGGCUCCCCGAUGCCGGUCGUGGCGGUGCGCCCGCCCACCUCCUCCGGCGCCCCCAGGCACCCCACCCCUCCUCCCAGCAACCUGAUGACCCAGAGAGUUCUGCUCAGCCCGGACAUGCAGGCCCGGCUUCCUUCCGGAGAGGUGGUGAGCAUCGCCCAGCUGGCGUCGCUGGCCGGUCGUCCCGUUUCGUCCUGCCAGGGCAGUAAGCCUGUCACCUUCCAGCUGCAGGGCAACAAACUCACCCUGUCUGGAACCCAGCUCCACCAGGUUCCUGUGGCCCCUGCGCGCCCGGUACAAGUGCCCUCAUCCAUGGUGACCGGCUCUGGAAUUGUGAAGAUCGUUGUGCGCCAGUCGAGCAAGGAAGGAGGGGGGGUUCCGACGCUGGCUGUGCCCCCUUCGCCCCGGCUCGCCCCACAGGCAUCACCCUCCACCCUCCACCACGCCAACCCCGCUUUGAGAACUCAUGCCCCCUUGCAGACAUCACAUCGCCACCCCGGACCCGCCACCGCUCAGUACACCCUGGCCCCGCCCAGAACUCCUACCUCAGUCACAAUUAGGACCUCCACCCCAGCGCCCCCUCGUACCUCCACUCCGGCGCCGCCUCGAAUCCCUACACCUGCCCCUUCACGAACCCCGGCCCCGCCUCGAAUCCCUACGCCGGCCCCCCCUCGUACGUCUACGCCGGCCCCCCCUCGUACGUCUACGCCAGCCCCUCCACGUAUUCCUACCUCAGCCCCUGGUCAGUCUCCGAACCCUCAACCUGUCCAGAAGGCAGAAAAGGGCCCAGCAGAGACCAGCCUGGAACAGAAAGGUGAGGAGAUGGGAUCCAAAUUAAAUAAAACGGGCCCUUUAUUUCCGGUCCUUAUAUUGAAUGUUAUUUUUUUUUUGUCCUCUCCAGCUCGUGUGAAUUCUUCGUCGUCGUCGUCCUCACGAGAGGACAGUAGUGAAACGAAGUCAGCCGUUCCUAAAUCGGGGUCCCACUCAUGGCUGGCAGAGAGCCGCAAGAAGCAGCGAGAUGGACGGCUGACUCAGAUCGUCCAGAUCAACGACCUCCACUGCAGCGCCAGUCCGGUGUAUGGCUACGAGGUGCUGGACUUCCUCACUUUCCUCCCAGGCCUCUGUCCCACUCCGGCCCGCCAGGCCCUGGGUCACUGGGGCAGCUCGGGCCACGCCGCCUGCCUGUUCGCCCAGUCCCGAAGCACCACUGACUACUGGGACCAGAGCAGCGCCCUGAGGGAGGCCAUCCACACCACAGAGGACAGGCUGCAGCUGCUCCAGGAUGUCAUAGAAAGGUUUACAUUUGUGAUCCCGCCGGUGGAGGCUCCGCCCAUCACCCUGCACACCUGUCACCCUCCCCCGUCUCUGAGCCACCAGCAGGCCAUGUUCACCUCGGGUCUCUCCGCCCUGGUGGCUCCGCUAACCCGCAGUCUGCACCGCAUCCAGUGCAACAUGAGGACCCACUUCCCCGACCUGAGGCUCAUCCAGUACGACUGCGGUAAGCUGCAGACCCUCCACACUCUGUUGCGGCGGCUGAAGGAGGGUCAACACAGGGUGCUCAUCUUCACCCAGAUGACCCGCAUGCUGGACGUGCUGGAGCAGUUCCUCAACUACCACGGACACAUCUACCUCCGCCUGGACGGCAGCACCCGCAUCGAGCAGAGACAGUCCUUGAUGGAUCGUUUCAACGCCGAUCGACGAAUCUUCUGCUUCAUCCUGUCCACGCGUAGCGGAGGCGUGGGCGUGAACCUGACGGGCGCCGACACGGUGGUGUUCUACGACAGUGACUGGAACCCGACCAUGGACGCCCAGGCCCAGGAUCGCUGCCACCGCAUCGGACAGACCCGCGACGUUCACAUCUACAGGUUGAUCAGUGAGCGCACGGUUGAGGAAAACAUUCUGAAGAAGGCCAACCAGAAGAGGAUGCUGGGAGACAUGGCCAUUGAAGGAGGCAACUUCACCACUGCCUUCUUCAAACAGCAAACCAUCAGGGAGCUAUUUGACGUGACGGAGGGGGAGAAGAAGGAGGCCGUGGUGGAGCUCACCGUACCCCAGCCUGAAGAAGAAGAGGCAGUCAAUAAACAGAGCACCACCAUCCUGGAGCAGGCCCUGUGUCGCGCAGAGGACGAGGAGGACAUAGUCGCGGCCUCCCAAGCCAAAGCGGAGCAGGUAGCUGAGCUGGCCGAGUUCAACGAGGCCAUCCCGUUGGAUGAAGCCGGUGAAGGGAGGGACCCGGAAGAGGAGGAGCUUUCCAAGGCUGAGCAGGAGAUAGCAGCUCUGGUGGAGCAGCUUACUCCUAUAGAGCGCUAUGCUAUGAACUUCCUGGAGGCCUCGCUGGAAGAUGUGUGCAAGGAGGAAUUGAAGCAAGCAGAGGAGCAGGUGGAGGCAGCCAGGAAGGGGCUGGACCAGGCCAAGGAGGAGGACGACUUCUCGUCACAACCAGCGGAGGAGCCCUCGGUCCCCGGGUCAGGCCGGCGCCCACGGAAACACAGAGAGAAAGGCGCUCCCUCCACCAGGACCAGUGGCAGGCUCAGGGGGACCAUGGCCACCUCUCCAGAGCCGGAGCCAGACAGAGAAGUGCCCGACAGACUCCGUCCGGCUCCAAGGGCACGAGGGGGGACCAAAGACACCACCACCACUCCAUCCCGCACGGAGCAUCUCAGGCCACACGCCAAAACUGCAGAGACAUCUCCUGCCUCUCCUUCUAGAGACUUGGCAGUGCUGCCUCACCGCAACAAGGCCCACUCCAGCUCAGUGCCUUCCACUGCCACCAGUCCUCCAACUGGGAAACCGGAGAUGGUGGAGUCUGAUACACGGUCGCCCAGGAGGGAGAAGGGGGUGUGUGCCUCGCCAGAGUCCACAUGUCCUGUGGACCACCAGUCAUACUCUGCCCAGGCCAGGGAUGAUGACAGCAGAGACCAGGAGUCCCUGUUGCCCCCCUCUGUGUGCUCCCGGUCGCCGCGCAAGCGCCAGUCUGCCGAUGGUGAGGUCCUGCUGGGCCUUCCGGAACAUUCCCCGUCGGCCAAGGUCCUGCGGAAGCUCCCUGGUCGCCUGGUUACGGUGGUGGAGGAAAAGGAGCCCAGGAAGAGGAGGAGAAGAGGCAGCGGAACGGGAGGAGGCUCAUCCGAGGAGAUGGAGCAUGCAGAGUCGGAAUUCCCCUCAACACACUCUGUUCCACCGAGAGGCUUCCCCCCUUACUCCCCGCCACACCACUCCCCUGACAUGCCGGUACUGAGGAACCUGCCAGUGCGACAACGUCUGGAGAGUGAGUCUCACUGCAACGUUUCCCCAGGCACUAAUGUCACUAACUCAACCCCGCCGGUGAAGCGCAAGAGGGGCCGACCACCCAAGACUCCCCCGAGGGUGGCGGAACCGCAGCCAGAUCACGUAUCC
rnacentral:lncRNA from 1 species